GACGAACGCUGGCGGCGUGCUUAACACAUGCAAGUCGAGCGGUAAGGCCCCUUUUGGGGGGUACGACGAGCGGCGAACGGGUGAGUAACACGUGGGUGACCUGCCUUCAGCUCUGGGAGUAAGCCUGGGAAACGUAGGGUCGUAAUACCGGAUAUGACCUUUGCCUGCAUGGGUGGGGGUGGGAAAGGAUUUAGUUUUGGUCUGGGGAUGGGCCUGCGGUCUAUCAGCUUGUUGGUGGGGUGAUGGCCUACCAAGGCGACGACGGGUAGCCGGCCUGAGAGGGCGACCGGCCACACUGGGACUGAGACACGGCCCAGACUCCUACGGGAGGCAGCAGUGGGGAAUAUUGCGCAAUGGGCGGAAGCCUGACGCAGCGACGCCGCGUGGGGAU
rnacentral:rRNA from 1 species